CCCAAUCUUCAAUCUUUGAAGGGAAUCCGAUUUAAACCUCGGUCCAAGUCUCCUUUUUCCUUAGUUCUAACUCAGAAAACCCUUAGAGAGAGAAAAGUUAGGGUUUGGGACGUUCUCCCCCCAUUUUUUUUCUUCUUUCCUCUUGCUCUUUCUUUUAAUUAAUUCAUCAUGUCGCUGCGAACAUGGCUGUGUUCCUGGUCGUGUUGGGAACACGGUCUGGUGUUCCUAGCCGUGUUGGGAACACGAUCUGGUGUUCCUGGCCGUGUUACUCUCUGUGGUUGUGCUCCUUAACGCAUCUUUUUCCUGUUGUCAAAU
rnacentral:lncRNA from 1 species